rnacentral:lncRNA from 1 species
GGAAGUAACUCUUGUUGUUCCUUGACAAUGCACCUCCAAUGUGUUUGCUCUUCAAAUUCGACAUGAUCUGCUAGUUAUUUGGCUAUCUUGUGCAUAAAUUUAAAUUUCUUUCUAGUAGAAGUAAAGGACAACCAUUUGAUAUUGCGGAGUGAACCUUUUCCCUUAACUGAAACAUCUUGCUGAUGUAGAUCGAUAUUUUUUGUCCUGUGUAAAUCCCCU